rnacentral:rRNA from 1 species
UACGAGAGGCCCAAACGUUAUUCGGAUUUACUGGGCUUAAAGAGUUCGUAGGCGGCGCAGAAAGUAGGGUGUGAAAGCCCUCGGCUCAACCGAGGAAUUGCGCCCUAAACUACUGUGCUCGAGGGACCUAGAGGUGAGCAGAACUGAUGGUGGAGCGGUGAAAUGCGUAGAUAUCGAGAGGAACACCUGCGGCGAAGGCGGGUUGCUGGGCUGAUACUGACGCUGAUGCGCGAAAGCCAGGGGAGCGAACGGG